UUAGGUGAUUAUAGCGGCGGGGCACCACCUCUUCCCAUUCCGAACAGAGAAGUUAAGCCCGCCUGCGCCGAUGGUACUGCUACGGUGGGAGAGUAGGACGUCGCCUCAC
rnacentral:rRNA from 1 species